rnacentral:rRNA from 1 species
AUUGAACGCUGGCGGCAGGCUUAACACAUGCAAGUCGAACGAGUGGCGGACGGGGGAGUAAUGCUCGGGAAUCCAGCUUAUGGAGGGGGAUAACUCCCGGUAACUGUAACUAAUACCGCAUACCAUAGGAUGAGCCGAAGUGGGAUUAGGUAGUUGGUGAGGUAAAGGCUCACCAAGCAGACGAUCUCUAGCUGGUCUGAGAGGAUGACCAGCCACACUGGGACUGAGGUACGGCACAGACUAAUACGGGAGGCAGCAUGGGGGAAUAUGAUGCAAUGGGGGCAACCUGACGCAGACCUGCCGCGUGAAUGGAGAAGGCCUUCGGGUUGUAGAGUUAUUUCGGUAGCGAGGAGUUAACUACAGAAGAAGGACCGGCUAACUCAGUGCCAGCAGCCGCGGUAAUAC